UGCAAGUCGAGCGAGAAAGGGCUUCGGCCCCGGUACAGCGGCGCACGGGUGAGUAACACGUAGGUAAUUUACCCCUGAAUGGUGGAUAACCCUCCGAAAGGAGGGCUAAUACAGCAUAAGACCACGGCCUCUUCGGAGGCUGAGGCCAAAGCGGGCCACUUCACGAAAGCUCGCGUUUGGGGAUGAGCCUGCGGCCCAUCAGCUAGUUGGCGGUGUAACGGACCACCAAGGCUAAGACGGGUAGCUGGUCUGAGAGGAUGAACAGCCACACUGGAACUGAGACACGGUCCAGACUCCUACGGGAGGCAGCAGUGGGGAAUCUUGCGCAAUGGGCGAAAGCCUGACGCAGCGACGCCGCGUGAGUGAUGAAGGCCUUCGGGUUGUAAAGCUCUGUGGGGAGAGACGAAUAAAUGCCGGCUAACACCCGGCAUGAUGACGGUAUCUCCUUAGCAAGCACCGGCUAACUCUGUGCCAGCAGCCGCGGUAAGACAGAGGGUGCAAACGUUGUUCGGAAUUACUGGGCGUAAAGCGCGUGUAGGCGGCAGGGCGUGUCGGAUGUGAAAUCCCGUGGCUCAACCACGGAAGUGCACCCGAAACUGCCCAGCUUGAGUCUCGGAGAGGAAGGCGGAAUGCUUGGUGUAGAGGUGAAAUUCGUAGAUAUCAAGCGGAACACCGGUGGCGAAGGCGGCCUUCUGGACGAUGACUGACGCUGAGACGCGAAAGCGUGGGGAGCAAACAGGAUUAGAUACCCUGGUAGUCCACGCCGUAAACGAUGAGUGCUAGGUGUCAC
rnacentral:rRNA from 1 species